UUGAACAAACUGGGUGGGUUGUUGCUGGCCUCUUGGGGCAUGUGCACACCUGCCUUUGUUUCUUCUCUUCGCCACCUGUGCACAUUUUGUAGACUUGGAUAUCUUUCGAGGCAACUCGGUCAGGGAGCUGUCGUUGAGCUCAAGGCUUGCUCGGCUGCUCCUACAUUUCCGGUCUAUGUUCUUUCUUGUACACCAUUGUAUGUUGCAGAAUGUAUGAAUUGGGCAUUUAUAAAUCUAUUA
rnacentral:misc_RNA from 1 species